rnacentral:tRNA from 1 species
CCCUUCGUGGUGUAAUGGUCAGCACGCUCGGCGCGUAUCCGAGAGGUCAGAGGUUCGAGUUCCUGUGAGGGCA